GACGAACGCUGGCGGCGUGCUUCAUACAUGCAAGUCGAGCGGGGUCCAUCCAGUGGCAACACUGGUGAAGACCUAGCGGCGAACGGGUGAGUAACACGUGAGGAACCUGCCCCAGAGACCGGGAUAACCCUCCGAAAGGAGAGCUAAUACCGGAUGCCCCCCCCGGAUCGCAUGGUCUGGUGAGGAAAUGGAUUCCGCUCUGGGAGGGCCUCGCGGCCUAUCAGCUUGUUGGUGAGGUAACGGCUCACCAAGGCGUCGACGGGUAGCUGGUCUGAGAGGACGGUCAGCCACACUGGGACUGAGACACGGCCCAGACUCCUACGGGAGGCAGCAGUAGGGAAUCUUGCGCAAUGGGCGAAAGCCUGACGCAGCAACGCCGCGUGGGGGAUGAAGGCUCUCGGGUUGUAAACCCCUUUCAGCAGGGACGAUUAUGACGGUACCUGCAGAAGAAGGACCGGCCAACUACGUGCCAGCAGCCGCGGUAACAC
rnacentral:rRNA from 1 species